rnacentral:rRNA from 1 species
GAUGAACGCUAGCGGCAGGCUUACACAUGCAGUCGAGGGGUACAGUCCCGCUUCGGCGGGAGCUGACGACCGGCGCACGGGUGAGUAACGCGUAUGCAACUUUCCUGUAACUGGAGGAUAGCCCCUGGAAACGGGGAUUAAUACUGCGUAAUACCUAAAUACCGCAUGGUAUUAAGGUCAAAUCUACGGAGGUUACAGAUGGGCAUGCGUGCCAUUAGCUAGAUGGUAAGGUAACGGCUUACCAUGGCAAUGAUGGCUAGGGGUUCUGCAAGGAAGGCCCCCCACACUGGUACUGAGACACGGACCAGACUCCUACGGGAGGCAGCAGUGAGGAAUAUUGGUCAAUGGAGGCAACUCUGAACCAGCCAAGCCGCGUGAAGGAAGACUGUCCUAUGGAUUGUAAACUUCUUUUGUGGCAGAAUAAACUACCGUACUUGUACGGUAUUGCAUGUAUGCCAUGAAUAAGCAUCGGCUAACUCCGUGCCAGCAGCCGCGGUAAUACGGAGGAUGCAGGCGUUAUCCGGAUCUAUUAGGUUUAAAGGGUGUUCACGCUGCCUGGUAAGUCAGGGGUGAAAGUCGGUUGCUCAACGAUCGAAUUGCCUUUGAAACUGUCAGGCUCAAGUAUGGAUGCGGUAGGCGGAAUGUGUAGUGUAGCGGUGAAAUGCAUAGAUAUUACACAGAACACCGAUUGCGAAGGCAGUUUACCAAACCAGUACUGACGCUGAAGCACGAAAGCGUGGG